CCGACCUGCCCUUUACUCGGGGAUAGCCUUUCGAAAGAAAGAUUAAUACCCGAUGGCAUAAUGAUUCCGCAUGGUUUCAUUAUUAAAGGAUUCCGGUAAAGGAUGGGGAUGCGUUCCAUUAGGUUGUUGGUGAGGUAACGGCUCACCAAGCCUUCGAUGGAUAGGGGUUCUGAGAGGAAGGUCCCCCACAUUGGAACUGAGACACGGUCCAAACUCCUACGGGAGGCAGCAGUGAGGAAUAUUGGUCAAUGGGCGUUAGCCUGAACCAGCCAAGUAGCGUGAAGGAUGAAGGCUCUAUGGGUCGUAAACUUCUUUUAUAUAAGAAUAAAGUGCAGUAUGUAUACUGUUUUGUAUGUAUUAUAUGAAUAAGGAUCGGCUAACUCCGUGCCAGCAGCCGCGGUAAUACGGAGGAUCCGAGCGUUAUCCGGAUUUAUUGGGUUUAAAGGGAGCGUAGGUGGACUGGUAAGUCAGUUGUGAAAGUUUGCGGCUCAACCGUAAAAUUGCAGUUGAUACUGUCAGUCUUGAGUACAGUAGAGGUGGGCGGAAUUCGUGGUGUAGCGGUGAAAUGCUUAGAUAUCACGAAGAACUCCGAUUGCGAAGGCAGCUCACUGGACUGCAACUGA
rnacentral:rRNA from 1 species